rnacentral:lncRNA from 1 species
UAAUGGGAAGGUUUGAAGCAUCGGGCAAUAAUGGGAACCGAAAUAUACGCGAGAAGGACAAGCGAAUGACGAGGAUCCUGAAGUUUUUAAGCACUAGGGGCAAUUUGGUAAAACUCCCCUUGUCCCUAUACUGAAACGGUGAACCUUAAAAAUACUUGCAAUUUCUCUCCCCUAUAAAUACCAAUACACUCCAGCUCGUUCCUUUCGCACUUGUCAAACACAGAGAGAAAUAGAGAAAAAAGAGUCAGUCAAUCAGUCUAAUACUGCAUACAAAAUGAGGCCAACAAGCACAACCAGCGCCACCGCCACCGCCGGAAUCAACAAAUGGAAUUCUCCGAUGCCUUACUUAUUUGCCAGCUUAGCAUUAAUGUUGGGGCUUAUCGCUUUAGCUUUGAUAAUCCUAGCUUGCUCUUACAGGAAUUCAUCAUCAGAUUGUUCAAAUUCAUCACCAGCUGAUGCCGGAGAAAAACCGGCCAAGCCGGAAAUGGAGCCAAAGAUCUUGGUAAUCAUGGCCGGAGAUGAGAAUCCCAGCUACCUAGCCACGCCGGUCGCGGCGAACUGAAGAAGUCUAAGCUAUUAAUUAUCUUUCCUUUUUAGGUAUAUUUUUUAUUUUUCUUGGCCCAACAAAAUUAGCUUAGCCUUAAAUAUAGUAUCUAGCUAGCUAGCAUUUCCUUGGAAAACACAUCUUCUAGCUUAGGUAAUUAGACUUUCGGGAGUAUGUGAAUUGAUGAGCUUAGAAACUAAUAUGUCAUUUAAUAAAUGACAAUUUUUGGUUUGAAUUUAAUAAAUAGCUAUAUUUAUUUAUUUAUGAAUCAAAUUUUUUUUGCGUGAUUAAAUCAAUUUUUUCCCAAAAAUAUGGUAUAAAAAAAACUUGUAUUUAAUGUUGUACUUAUAUAUAUAUAUAGGGAGCCUUUCCAUAGCAACCGGUUGCCAUAAGAACUGUGCAACAACCCCUUUUUGGACCGUUGAUAAACUUAUUGGAAGGCUGAGAUUGAAACAUAAAUAUACUAAGCCGGCACAACUUGUACCGGCUUUUAUUUUAAUAUGAGGACCCCACCAUAGUCAACAUGUUGUCAGUUUAUUGAAAUAAAAUGAAUUUUUAAUAUUAAAUAAUGCCCGACCGACACAGCUUAUACCGGCUGUGCCUUUUUUAUAAAAUACUCCCAGCCGCUACAAGCUCUUAUGGCUGUUAAAAAAAAAA